AGCGAACGCUGGCGGCAGGCCUAACACAUGCAAGUCGAACGAAGUCUUCGGACUUAGUGGCGGACGGGUGAGUAACACGUGGGAACGUGCCUUUAGGUUCGGAAUAACUCAGGGAAACUUGUGCUAAUACCGAAUGUGCCCUUCGGGGGAAAGAUUUAUCGCCUUUAGAGCGGCCCGCGUCUGAUUAGCUAGUUGGUGAGGUAAAGGCUCACCAAGGCUACGAUCUAUAGCUGGUCUGAGAGGAUGAUCAGCCACACUGGGACUGAGACACGGCCCAGACUCCUACGGGAGGCAGCAGUGGGGAAUCUUGCGCAAUGGGCGAAAGCCUGACGCAGCCAUGCCGCGUGAAUGAUGAAGGUCUUAGGAUUGUAAAAUUCUUCUACCAGGGACGAUAAUGACGGUACCUGGAGAAAAAGCCCCGGCUAACUUCGUGCCAGCCGCCGCCGUAAGAC
rnacentral:rRNA from 1 species